ACCUGGGUGGCUCAGUCGGUUAAGCAUCUGACUUCAGCUCAGGUCAUGAUCUCACAGUUCAUGGGUUCGAGCCCCAUGUCAGGCU
rnacentral:tRNA from 1 species